UACGUAGGGUGCAAGCGUUGUCCGGAAUUAUUGGGCGUAAAGAGCUCGUAGGCGGUUUGUCGCGUCUGCUGUGAAAACUCGGGGCUUAACUCCGGGCCUGCAGUGGGUACGGGCAGACUAGAGUGCGGUAGGGGAGACUGGAAUUCCUGGUGUAGCGGUGAAAUGCGCAGAUAUCAGGAAGAACACCCGUGGCGAAGGCAGGUCUCUGGGCCACUACUGACGCUGAGAAGCGAAAGCAUGGGGAGCGAACAGG
rnacentral:rRNA from 1 species